GAUGAACGCUGGCGGCGUGCUUAACACAUGCAAGUCGAGCGAAGCACUUAUGAUGAUCCUUCGGGUGAUUCAUUUGUGACUGAGCGGCGGACGGGUGAGUAACGCGUGAGUAACCUGCCUCAUACAGGGGAAUAACAGUUAGAAAUGACUGCUAAUGCCGCAUAAGCGCACAGGGCCGCAUGGCCCGGUGUGAAAAACUCCGGUGGUAUGAGAUGGACUCGCGUCUGAUUAGCUAGUUGGCAGGGUAACGGCCUACCAAGGCGACGAUCAGUAGCCGGCCUGAGAGGGUGAACGGCCACAUUGGGACUGAGACACGGCCCAAACUCCUACGGGAGGCAGCAGUGGGGAAUAUUGCACAAUGGGGGAAAUCCUGAUGCAGCGACGCCGCGUGAGUGAAGAAGUAUUUCGGUAUGUAAAGCUCUAUCAGCAGGGAAGAAAAUGACGGUACCUGACUAAGAAGCCCCGGCUAACUACGUGCCAGCAGCCGCGGUAAUACGUAGGGGGCAAGCGUUAUCCGGAUUUACUGGGUGUAAAGGGAGCGUAGACGGCUUUGCAAGUCUGACGUGAAACUCCGGGGCUCAACUCCGGAACUGCGUUGGAAACUGUAAGGCUUGAGUGCCGGAGAGGUAAGCGGAAUUCCUAGUGUAGCGGUGAAAUGCGUAGAUAUUAGGAGGAACACCAGUGGCGAAGGCGGCUUACUGGACGGCAACUGACGUUGAGGCUCGAAAGCGUGGGGAGCAAACAGGAUUAGAUACCCUGGUAGUCCACGCGGUAAACCGAGGAAUAAUUAGGUGGUGGGGGGCAAAAGUCCCUUCGGUGCCCCCGCCAAACGCAUUAAGUAUUCCACCUGGGGAGUACGUUCGCAAGAAGAAAACUCAAAGGAAUAGACGGGGACCCGCACAAGCGGUGGAGCAUGUGGUUUAAUUUGAAGCAACGCGAAGAACCUUACCAAGUCUUGACAUCGAUUCGACGGGAGUGUAAUGACUCCUUUCCCUUCGGGGACGAAGAAGACAGGUGGUGCAUGGUUGUCGUCAGCUCGUGUCGUGAGAUGUUGGGUUAAGUCCCGCAACGAGCGCAACCCUUAUCUUCAGUAGCCAGCGAGUAAGGUCGGGCACUCUGGAGAGACUGCCAGGGACAACCUGGAGGAAGGUGGGGAGGACGUCAAAUCAUCAUGCCCCUUAUGACUUGGGCUACACACGUGCUACGAUGGCGUAAACAAAGGGAAGCGAACCUGUGAGGGUGGGCAAAUCCCAAAAAUAACGUCUCAGUUCGGAUUGUAGUCUGCAACUCGACUACAUGAAGCUGGAAUCGCUAGUAAUCGCGAAUCAGCAUGUCGCGGUGAAUACGUUCCCGGGUCUUGCAC
rnacentral:rRNA from 1 species